AGAGUUUGAUCAUGGCUCAGAUUGAACGCUGGCGGCAGGCCUAACACAUGCAAGUCGAGCGGUAGCACGGGAGAGCUUGCUCUCUGGGUGACGAGCGGCGGACGGGUGAGUAAUGUCUGGGAAACUGCCUGAUGGAGGGGGAUAACUACUGGAAACGGUAGCUAGUACCGCAUGAUGUCGCAAGACCAAAGUGGGGGACCUUCGGGCCUCACGCCAUCGGAUGUGCCCAGAUGGGAUUAGCUAGUAGGUGGGGUAAUGGCUCACCUAGGCGACGAUCCCUAGCUGGUCUGAGAGGAUGACCAGCCACACUGGAACUGAGACACGGUCCAGACUCCUACGGGAGGCAGCAGUGGGGAGUAUUGCACAAUGGGCGCAAGCCUGAUGCAGCCAUGCCGCGUGUGUGAAGAAGGCCUUAGGGUUGUAAAGCACUUUCAGCGAGGAGGAAGGCGUUGUAGUUAAUAGCUGCAGCGAUUGACGUUACUCGCAGAAGAAGCACCGGCUAACUCCGUGCCAGCCGCCGCGGUAA
rnacentral:rRNA from 1 species